rnacentral:rRNA from 1 species
GAUUAAUACUCCAUAAUACUGCGAGAAGGCAUCUUUUUUCAGUUAAAGCUUCGGCGGUCAGAGAUGGGCAUGCGUAACAUUAGCUGGUUGGUGAGGUAACAGCUCACCAAGGCUACGAUGUUUAGGGGGUCUGAGAGGAUGGUCCCCCACACUGGUACUGAGACACGGACCAGACUCCUACGGGAGGCAGCAGUGAGGAAUAUUGGUCAAUGGGCGAAAGCCUGAACCAGCCAUGCCGCGUGAAGGAUGACGGCCCUAUGGGUUGUAAACUUCUUUUAUACGGGAAGAAACCCCUCUACGUGUAGGGGGCUGACGGUACCGUACGAAUAAGCAUCGGCUAACUCCGUGCCAGCAGCCGCGGUAAUACGGAGGAUGCAAGCGUUAUCCGGAUUUAUUGGGUUUAAAGGGUGCGUAGGCGGAAAAUUAAGUCAGUGGUGAAAUCCUGCAGCUUAACUGUAGAAUUGUCAUUGAUACUGGUUUUCUUGAAUACAGUUGAGGUAGGCGGAAUGAGUAAUGUAGCGGUGAAAUGCUUAGAUAUUACUCAGAACACCAAUUGCGAAGGCAGCUUACUAAACUGUGAUUGACGCUGAGGCACGAAAGCGUGGGGAGCGAACAGGAUUAGAUACCCUGGUAGUCCACGCCGUAAACGAUGAUCACUCGUUGUUGGCAAUACACCGUCAGCGACUGAGCGAAAGUAUUAAGUGAUCCACCUGGGGAGUACGAUUGCAAGAUUGAAACUCAAAGGAAUUGACGGGGGCCCGCACAAGCGGAGGAACAUGUGGUUUAAUUCGAUGAUACGCGAGGAACCUUACCUGGGCUUAAAUGCAUAACGACGGAUCGGGAAACUGGUCUUUCUUCGGACGGAAUGCAAGGUGCUGCAUGGCUGUCGUCAGCUCGUGCCGUGAGGUGUCGGGUUAAGUCCCAUAACGAGCGCAACCCUCAUCAUUAGUUGCCAGCGGGUAAUGCCGGGGACUCUAAUGAAACUGCCGGUGUAAACCGAGAGGAAGGCGAGGAUGACGUCAAGUCAGCACGGCCCUUAUGUCCAGGGCUACACACGUGUUACAAUGGUCAGUACAAAGGGCAGCUACCAGGCAACUGGAUGCUAAUCUCAAAAGCUGGUCACAGUUCGGAUCGGAGUCUGCAACCCGACUUCGUGAAGUUGGAUUCGCUAGUAAUCGCGCAUCAGCCAUGGCGCGGUGA